rnacentral:tRNA from 1 species
ACCUGAGUGGCUCAGUCGGUUAAGCGUCUGACUUCGGCUCGGGUCAUGAUCUCGCGGUUCGUGGGUUCGAGCCCCACGUCGGGCU